rnacentral:rRNA from 1 species
UCUGCUUUCUACAAGGACAUGAGGGAGGCUUGGAAUUGUGCCCAGGCAGUUCGUUUUCGGCCAAUUGGCCCAAAUCUGUUUGUCGUUCAAGUUUACUGCCUUGGUGAUUAGGACCGUAUCAUGACUCAGGGGCCAUGGCUGUUCUACCGCAAUAUGGCAGUCCUGUUGACGCCUUAUGAUGGUUUCGCAAACGCCGAGGAGGUGCCGAUAGUGCACAUGCCAAUCUGGCUCCAGAUCCAUAAACUGCCGGAUGGAUAUUCCAGGCAGGAUUUGAUUGCAAAAUUGCUUCGAUCUGCGGGGGAGGUUCUGGAGACUAGAAUUACAUGAAACUCAAGAGGGGACUAUGUUCGUGUUCGAGUGAAACAUGACAUCAGGAGACCUCUCACCAAGUUUGUAAGCAUUGUAAAAGGAAAGACUCACAAUAUCUAUGCAGUAAGGUAUGAGAAGUUGGCGAGGUUUUGUAGCCCUUGUGGUAUCAUUGGCCACGAGCACAAGGAGUGUGGUGACGGGGUGUUUGUAGAGAAGGACCUCAAGUUUGGCGACUACCUAUACGCAGAUCCACCGGUGCAAGUUCGUUCAGAUUGGGAACCCAACCGGAAUGAAAGGAAGAUCAACAAUGACUUGACGGUUCCCAAGUUGGCAGCAGGUGAAGGUGAGGCUUUGGCAGAUGGAGAACUCAAGGACACAGCUUCGCUUCUAGUCCGCUUAAAUCUCCUUCCUCUUUGGAUAUGGACUUGGAUAAAUCUUCUCGUAAGCAUUUGA